CACGAUUUUUUUUUAUAUAAAAGAGCUUCCAUCAGUUUCUGAUCGUAACAGUUAAUCAGCAGUUGUUUGCGCCAACUCGUUGAUACUCUUCUCGUCAUCUAUUUUUUUUCAUCUUUCGAGACCUAUUAUAUAGGGAGAAGACCCGAUCCUUGCAUUCCAAUUUCCAAGAUGGCGCACAAGAUAAUUUUCAUUUCCAUAUUGUUGUGCUGUGUUUUCGUUGAUGUCAUGUCUCAAAAGGGCAUGAACAAUGCUGAACAUUUCAGAGAUAACAAUCCUCUGGAUGAAGCUUCGGUACAACUGUGUCUCCAAACGAACAUUCCUACGGAAUUCUGCACAACUCAACAUAGUGCACAGAAGAAGCAAUCCUUCGAGAAAAGGUUGUUCUAACCGGGUCCAAUUAGUUGCCAUCGUUGAUUUGAGAUUACAGAACAAGUUUUGUUUGUAUGUGAUGCACAGAAGGCAGUUUUUCGAUGGUAUACCCUGAUUGUAAAAUAACCAAGAGUAAAAAUAAAUAGCGAAUGUCAACAAUUCA